UCUUAUCAAGAGAAGCAGAGGGACUGGCCCGACGAAGCUUCAGCAACCAGCCGAAAGGUCAGGUGCUAAUUCCAGAAGGUAAUAACCUUAAAAGAUAAGA
rnacentral:ncRNA from 1 species